rnacentral:miRNA from 1 species
AGGAGAAGUAAAGUAGAA